UAGCUAGUUGGUAAGGUAACGGCUUACCAAGGCAACGAUGCGUAGCCGACCUGAGAGGGUGAUCGGCCACACUGGAACUGAGACACGGUCCAGACUCCUCCGGGAGGCAGCAGUAGGGAAUCUUCCGCAAUGGGCGAAAGCCUGACGGAGCAACGCCGCGUGAGUGAUGAAGGUCUUCGGAUCGGACAACUCUGUUAUUAGGGAAGAA
rnacentral:rRNA from 1 species